CACGGGGGGAGCAAGCGUUGUCCGGAAUCACUGGGCGUAAAGGGCGUGUAGGCGGUCAGGUAAGUGGAAUGUGAAAUCCCUCGGCUCACCCGAGGACCUGCAUCCCAAACUGCCUGGCUUGAGUAUGGGAGAGGAUGAGGGAAUUCCUGGUGUAGCGGUGAAAUGCGUAGAUAUCAGGAGGAACACCGGUGGCGAAGGCGCUCAUCUGGCCCAAUACUGACGCUGAAGCGCGAAAGCUAGGGGAGCAAACGGG
rnacentral:rRNA from 1 species